rnacentral:rRNA from 1 species
CCUACGGGCGGCUGCAGUGAGGAAUAUUGGUCAAUGGGCGCGAGCCUGAACCAGCCAAGUCGCGUGAGGGAAGACGGUCCUAUGGAUUGUAAACCUCUUUUGUCGGGGAGCAAAAGACGCCACGCGUGGCGUUCCGAGAGUACCCGAAGAAAAAGCAUCGGCUAACUCCGUGCCAGCAGCCGCGGUAAUACGGAGGAUGCGCGCGUUAUCCGGCGUUAUUGGGUUUAAAGGGUGCGCAGGCGGAAGAUCAAGUCAGCGGUAAAAUUGAGAGGCUCAACCUCUUCGAGCCGUUGAAACUGGUUUUCUUGAGUGAGUGAGAAGUAUGCGGAAUGCGUGGUGUAGCGGUGAAAUGCAUAGAUAUCACGCAGAACUCCGAGUGCGAAGGCAGCAUACCGGCGCGCAACUGACGCUCAUGCACGAAAGUGUGGGUAGCGAACAGGAUGAGAGACCCCAGUAGUC